rnacentral:rRNA from 1 species
GGGGAAUUUUGGACAAUGGGCGAAAGCCUGAUCCAGCAAUGCCGCGUGUGUGAUGAAGGCCUUCGGGUUGUAAAGCACUUUUGGCGGGAACGAAAAGGACUGUGCCAAUACCACGGUUCGAUGACGGUACCCGCAGAAUAAGCACCGGCUAACUACGUGCCAGCAGCCGCGGUAAUACGUAGGGUGCAAGCGUUAAUCGGAAUUACUGGGCGUAAAGAGUGCGCAGGCGGUUUUGCAAGACCGAUGUGAAAUCCCCGGGCUUAACCUGGGAACUGCAUUGGUGACUGCAAGGCUAGAGUGUGUCAGAGGGAGGUGGAAUUCCGCAUGUAGCAGUGAAAUGCGUAGAUAUGCGGAGGAACACCGAUGGCGAAGGCAGCCUCCUGGGAUAACACUGACGCUCAUGCACGAAAGCGUGGGGAGCAAACAGGAUUAGAUACCCUGGUAGUCCACGCCCUAAACGAUGUCUACUAGUUGUCGGGGAUUAAUUUCCUUGGUAACGCAGCUAACGCGUGAAGUAGACCGCCUGGGGAGUACGGUCGCAAGAUUA